AUUGAACGCUGGCGGCAUGCCUUACACAUGCAAGUCGAACGGCAGCACGGGAGCAAUCCUGUUGGCGAGUGGCGAACGGGUGAGUAGUGUAUCGGAACGUGCCCAGUUGUCGGGUAUAACGCAGCGAAAGCUGUGCUAAUACCGCAUACGAUCGAUGGAUGAAAGCGGGGGAUCGGAAGACUUCGCGCGCCUGGACUGGCGGAUAUCAGAUUAGCUAGUUGGUGGGGUAAAAGCUUACCAAGGCUACGACCUGUAGCUGGUCUGAGAGGACGACCAGCCACACUGGAACUGAGACACGGUCCAGACUCCUACGGGAGGCAGCAGUGGGGAAUUUUGGACAAUGGGCGCAAGCCUGAUCAAGCAAUGCCGCGUGCAGGAUGAAGGCCUUCGGGUUGUAAACUGCUUUUGUACGGAGCGAAAAGGCUCUCUCUAAUACAGGGGGCUUAUGACGGUACCGUAAGAAUAAGCACCGGCUAACUACGUGCCAGCAGCCGCGGUAA
rnacentral:rRNA from 1 species